UACGUAGGGGGCAAGCGUUGUCCGGAAUUAUUGGGCGUAAAGAGCGUGUAGGCGGCCAGAUAAGUCCGCUGUGAAAUCUCGAGGCUCAACUUCGAGCUGUCGGUGGAAACUAUCUGGCUAGAGUCCGGAAGAGGAGAAUGGAAUUCCUGGUGUAGCGGUGAAAUGCGCAGAUAUCAGGAAGAACACCCGUGGCGAAGGCGGUCCUCUGGGACGGUACUGACGCUGAGACGCGAAAGCGUGGGGAGCGAACAGG
rnacentral:rRNA from 1 species